GUAGCUACCCGAAGUGGUGGAGGGGAUGGUUUGUGACACCAGUGUUAGCGAGUUCAACCCUCGUCAGUUCCCCCA
rnacentral:tRNA from 1 species